GAAUAUUCCAGAAUCUCUUAAGGAUUAAAAAGGGGACAAAAUUGAGGCUCGACCUAAAUGGGUUGGAAGUUGCUUUAGGACUAUGGCUUAUAAAUAAGUUGUUAUGAAUCAAACCCAUUUGCUCAUUGGCUUAGAACUUUUGACACUCCCUUCUUUCUAAGGUUUGUAGAAAUUGAUCCUUGAGUCUUCUUAACCCUCUCUAAGGUUUGUAGAAAUUGAUCCCUCUAGUCUUUUUUUUUGCUUCUAUCUUUGGCAUUCUUGAGGGUGAACCAAUAGAGUAAUUCCACUUUGGAUCAUCUCCGUCCAAGCAAGCUAGAAAAGACAAGAAGAAAAGACAAGAUCACAAGCCAAAAAGUCUCUAACUGCAUAAGAGGUAUAUGUAUAUACAUGUGUGUAUACGAGAUAUUUAUACAUGUGUCCUCACAUGUUUAAAUUAAACAUUAUCAUUUUCACCAUAUAUAUAUAUAUAUAAAAGACAACAUUUUCUCAAAAUGUGGCAUCGAAUACAAAUCUUGGAGUCAUGGGCGCCAUAACAAGCUUUUCAAAACUAUGGGUUUUAGUCUGCAAAGUAUUUUUUAUAGUCUGGACCAGAUGGUAGAUACAAUCACAAGAAGAGUGACAAUUUUAUUUAUGUGUGUGUAUGUGUGUGUGUGUGAGAGAGAGAGAGAGAGAGAGAGAGAGAGAGAGAGACCACAAUCAUCCUAACGCCUCGUUAAAUCCUUACAUGUCUUCUUCACAUGUCUCCCGGAGUGUUAAGCUCCUUCGUAUUUUCUAUAUACUUUUUUCUUACCUCUUCUUCCCCAAUGUCCC
rnacentral:lncRNA from 1 species